ACGGGGCGCAGCAGGCGCGAACACUUUACAAUGCGGGAAACCGCGAUAAGGGAACCCCGAGUGCCAGCAUCAAAUGUUGGCUGUCCAGAUGAUUAAAAAUCAUUUGUUAGCAAGGGCCGGGCAAGACCGGUGCCAGCCGCCGCGGUAACACCGGCGGCCCGAGUGGUAGCCGUUUUUAUUGGGUCUAAAGGGUCCGUAGCCGGCCUGAUAAGUCCUUUGGGAAAUCUGGCAGCUUAACUGUCAGGCUUCUAAGGGAUACUGUCAGGCUUGGGACCGGAAGAGGUAAGGGGUACUCCAGGGGUAGGAGUGAAAUCUUGUAAUCCCUGGGGGACCAUCUGUGGCGAAGGCGCCUUACCAGAACGGGUCCGACGGUGAGGGACGAAAGCUAGGGGAGCAAACCGGAUUAGAUACCCGGGUAGUCCUAGCUGUAAACGAUGCUCGCUAGGUGUCAGACACGGUGCGACCGUGUUUGGUGCCGCAGGAAGCCGUUAAGCGAGCCACCUGGAAGUACGUCGCAAGGC
rnacentral:rRNA from 1 species